rnacentral:siRNA from 1 species
GGAAAGAGACAAGAAGGCAAGCC